GCCUGGAUGGUGAAAUGGCAGCCACAGGGGAUUUAAAAUCCCCCGAGCAUUCGCUCGUGCGGGUUCGACCCCCGCUCCAGGCA
rnacentral:tRNA from 1 species